rnacentral:rRNA from 1 species
GAUGAACGCUGGCGGCGUGCCUAAUACGUGCAAGUCGAGCGAACAGAUGAGGAGCUUGCUCCUCUGACGUUAGCGGCGGACGGGUGAGUAACACGUGGAUAACCUACCUAUAAGACUGGGAUAACUUCGGGAAACCGGAGCUAAUACCGGAUAAUAUAUUGAACCGCAUGGUUCAAUAGUGAAAGACGGUUUUGCUGUCACUUAUAGAUGGAUCCGCGCCGCAUUAGCUAGUUGGUAAGGUAACGGCUUACCAAGGCAACGAUGCGUAGCCGACCUGAGAGGGUGAUCGGCCACACUGGAACUGAGACACGGUCCAGACUCCUACGGGAGGCAGCAGUAGGGAAUCUUCCGCAAUGGGCGAAAGCCUGACGGAGCAACGCCGCGUGAGUGAUGAAGGUCUUCGGAUCGUAAAACUCUGUUAUUAGGGAAGAACAAAUGUGUAAGUAACUAUGCGCGUCUUGACGGUACCUAAUCAGAAAGCCACGGCUAACUACGUG